rnacentral:rRNA from 1 species
UGCCUACGGGGGGCAGCAGUAGGGAAUCUUCCACAAUGGACGAAAGUCUGAUGGAGCAACGCCGCGUGAGUGAAGAAGUAUUUCGGUACGUAAAGCUCUAUCAGCAGGGAAGAAUAAUGACGGUACCUGACUAAGAAGCCCCGGCUAACUACGUGCCAGCAGCCGCGGUAAUACGUAGGGGGCAAGCGUUAUCCGGAUUUACUGGGUGUAAAGGGAGCGUAGACGGCAGCGCAAGUCUGAAGUGAAAUCCCAUGGCUUAACCAUGGAACUGCUUUGGAAACUGUGCAGCUGGAGUGCAGGAGCGG